GUCUUCUUGUUCUAGCAGAACCUCAGGCUUGUCAUAUUCCAAAAUAACCCCUCUCUUCAUGACAAUAACCAAAUCUGAAUUGAGGAUUGUGUGCACACGGUGCUGAAAAGCAAACAAACAAAAUGCCAGAAGAGCCCCAGCCUGCCCAGCUGCUCCCUUCCAGGAGCAAAUCCAACACCUCCAAAAUCAUCCUGUGCUUCUCAGCAUUUUUCAGUUGUAAUGUGUUGUUCUGGGCAUAAAGGAGACACGAACUGCACACAAUAUUCAAGGAGAGACUGUCUUUGCGUUCCAAACUGCCGGGAAGUGUCACGAGCACAGAGACCUUUGUUUGUUAUUAGCUGCUCUUCAGAGAGGUAUUUCAAAGGAGGAACUCUAUCCUCAAUGCAUCAAAAUUCAAAAUGUGUUUUACCUGGGCUGUGUGCACUGUGGUUUCCUUGCUGAAGCUCAAACACUAACAUUUUACUGAGCUAAAAAUUGUAGCUGUUCUAACCAACCCCUCCAAUUAUGUUCUUUACUUACAGCAGAAAGAAAACUGAAAUAUUUCCUGUAACAGAUGAAAAGAAUGUACUAUUUUAUUUGGUUAAAACCCAGUCACUGCACUAUUACUGAGUGCUUAAGCAUCUGCCUAGAAAUUCCAGGCAAUUAAUGCAAUAAUCCAGUAUGUCUUUUCUGUAUCUGUGUUUAUUUCCUUGCCUCUACUUUCAAGUCUUCUAACUUCCCAACUUGUCCUGCCAGUCAUGCUGGGAAAACUUGUCACUUGGCAAUUCACCCUUCACUGACCAUCCCAGCCAACCUUCCCCAGCUUUGUUUACUUUGUUACAGUGAAACCCCACUGCCAAUUAAAAUAACAUGCUUCAUUUUCCUAAUGCAAUCAGUCCUGAAAUAACUAUUCAAUCCCUAGUAAAAUGGUUUGAAAGCUCUCUAGAUUUGUUAGCAGUGACUGACAACUACCUGGGCUUGUAAAAAUGUCUGCAACUAAAUAUGGUGUAAGCAUAUUACAGAAUAGACAGAAUUGCUUUCUACCUUUUACUUCAAAUAUUAAGUAAAAGAAAUCAGAAGC